AGCUCCAAUAGCGUAUAUUAAAGUUGUUGCAGUUAAAAAGCUCGUAGUUGGAUUUCUGGCAGGAGCGUCCGGUCUCACACUCAGUGCGGGAACUUGGAUGUCUCUGGCCAUCUUUGGGGAUAUCCUGUUUGGCAUUAAGUUGUCGGGCAGGGGAUACCCAUCGUUUACUGUGAAAAAAUUUGAGUGUUUAAAGCAGGCUUAUGCCGUUGAAAAUAUUAGCAUGGAAUAAUAAGAUAGGACGUAGGUACUAUUUUGUUGGUUUGCGCACCCACGUAAUGAUUAAUAGAGACAGGCGGGGCUAUUCGUAUUGCAUUGUCAGAGGUGAAAUUCUUGGAUUUCUGCAAGACGAACUACUGCGAAAGCAUUUAGCAAGGAUGUUUUCAUUA
rnacentral:rRNA from 1 species